GUCUCUGUGGUGCAAUUGGUUAGUGUGUUAGGCUGUUAAGUGAAAGGUUGGUGAUUCAAGCCCACCCAGGGACA
rfam:Danio rerio chromosome 4, GRCz11 reference primary assembly.